rnacentral:rRNA from 1 species
AACGGCGAUAAGGGGACCUCGAGUGCCAGGUUACAAAUCUGGCUGUCGUGAUGCAUAAAAAGCAUUGCAUAGCAAGGGCCGGGCAAGACCGGUGCCAGCCGCCGCGGUAACACCGGCGGCUCGAGUGGUAACCGUUAUUAUUGGGUCUAAAGGGUCUGUAGCCGGCCGGAUAAGUCUCUUGAGAAAUCCAGCAGCUCAACUGUUGGGCUUUCAGGAGAUACUGUUCGGCUCGAGGCCGGGAGAGGUGAGAGGUACUUCASGGGUAGGGGUGAAAUCUUGUAAUCCUUGAAGGACCACCAGUGGCGAAGGCGUCUCACCAGAACGGACCUGACGGCAAGGGACGAAAGCUAGGGGCACGAACCGGAUUAGAUACCCGGGUAGUCCUAGCCGUAAACGAUACUCGCUAGGUGUCGGCCACGGUGCGACCGUUGUCGGUGCCGUAGGGAAGCCGUGAA